UGAUAACAGUGCCCAAAGGAACCAAGUGAAAUUACCAAAUUAGAAGUGAUAAGAGGUUGUACUCUCUCCACAAAUUUAUUGUAAUUAGCAAGAGGUAAUGGUGUCUAAAUAAGAUGAAAGAAGAUAUUUUAAAGAUGAUAAUAACAAAAACUACUAGAAAAAGGUGAAGCCAGAAAGGAAGAGUCAUAAUCAAAGAGAGUGAUCAAGAAUCCAAAAUAGACAGAGAGAGCAGGCUCUUAGAGAAAUGGGAGAACUACAACACUGACUCUGCACGUAGGAGGCAGGCAGGAGAGGAGCGCCCCAGCCAGAGUUCAACAUGCACAAACAGGAAGUGUGUCCAAGGUUCUCUGGAGCUCACAGGAGCCGGGGACCGACAGC